UGAUGGAUCAUUUGAAGCAUCCUUGAAUUAUGAGUUGUUGUUUUUUAUUGUGAUGGAUCAUUUAAAGUAUGUCCACGGAUAAAAGUAAUGGUUAUGAAGUUGUUGAUGUGAGAAUGACGAGUCGUUGAUGUGGUUGGCAGAUUUGAAGCGUUGCUUGAAGGUGAUGCUGAAGAAAUAAUGUUGAUGACGUAGGUUCUGAGUUGUUGCGGAUUGGAGAGGGUGACGCUGCGUGAAUGAAACCGAUUUCGUGAUGAUGGAUAGGUUGUUCUUGCUGCAAAUUACGUGUCGAAGUUGCGAUUUGGGUCGGAAAUUGUUGCUGCGAUAUGACAGUGUGAUGUGUUGAAGCUUGAUUGCAGAAGGAUUGCAAAGUUGAAGCUGAAUCGUUGAAGCUGUGUGAAACUUUGAAAUUCACAGGUGAAUUUAGUUUGGUGAAGAUGAUGAACAUGUGUGAUAGGUUAUUUUGAAGGAAUUGUCAGGUUAUGCAGAAUUUGAAGGUUCUAUGGAUGGUACUCUAAUGGAAGGUCAAAUUAUGGAGGAAUAUUUGUGCAGAAUUUUAUGGUGAAUGAUCAAAUGAAAUUCGGAGGAAGAAGUUUGAACAAAUUUCUGCAGACUGACUUUACAUUUUUCUUCCUCUCUUUU